GGCGCUAUAGCCAAGUAGUUACGGUGACAGAUUCAGGUUGGCAAUAAUUGCUUUUGAUGAUAUCUGUUCUUCUUUGAGGGCGCAGGUUCAAAUCCUGCUGGGGUUG